AGUGAACGCUGGCGGCGUGCUUAACACAUGCAAGUCGAACGAGAACGGAUUAUAGCUUUCUAUAAUUGUCAGCUAAGUGGCGCACGGGUGAGUAAUGUAUAGGUAAUAUGCCUCUUACUAAGGGAUAACAAAUGGAAACGUUUGCUAAUACCUUAUACUCCUUAUUAACAUAAGUUAAUAAGGGAAAGAUUUAUUGGUAAGAGAUUAGCCUGUAUUGUAUCAGUUAGUUGGUGGGGUAAUGGCUUACCAAGACUAUGACACAUAACUGGUUUGAGAGGAUGAUCAGUCACAAUGGAACUGAGACACGGUCCAGACUCCUACGGGAGGCAGCAGUGGGGAAUAUUGCACAAUGGACGAAAGUCUGAUGCAGCAACGCCGCGUGGAGGAUGACACAUUUCGGUGCGUAAACUCCUUUUAUAUGAGAAGAUAAUGACGGUAUUAUAUGAAUAAGCACCGGCUAACUCCGUGCCAGCAGCCGCGGUAA
rnacentral:rRNA from 1 species